AGCGAACGUUUGCGGCGGGCCUAACACAUGCAAGUCGAACGCACUAGCAAUAGUGAGUGGCGCACGGGUGCGUAACACGUGGGUAAUCAACCCUUCAGCUUGGGAUAACGACUUGAAAGGGUCGCUAAUACCGGAUACGGCGCGAGAGGCUUCGGCUUCUCACGAGAAAGCCUCGCAAGGGGCACUGAAGGACGAGCCUGCGGCCCAUCAGCUAGUUGGUGAGGUAAGAGCUCACCAAGGCUAAGACGGGUAGCUGGUCUGAGAGGAUGAUCAGCCACACUGGAACUGAGACACGGUCCAGACUCCUACGGGAGGCAGCAGUGGGGAAUAUUGCGCAAUGGGCGAAAGCCUGACGCAGCCACGCCGCGUGAGUGAAGAAGGCCUCGGUUGUAAG
rnacentral:rRNA from 1 species